rnacentral:rRNA from 1 species
AUGUCGGAGAGGUUUUGUAGGAUUCCUAAAGAGAGUAGAGUAGCUGUUUUUGCAAAAAACCUCAGUGUAGAGGCCUACUGGAAGGGCAAUACAGCUAGUAGAAGAGCUCUUGUGUACUCGGGCUAUAGUAACAAAAACAUUUCAAAGGCUACUGAAGGUAUGGUGGUCAAAGUAACCAAAGCUGUGAGUGAUCUCACUGUGAAAGAGAAAGAUGUUGCAUCGUCUUUUCUGGCGACUGGAGGUCUAGUCCAGGGAGGCCACUCGCUCGGCCAGGAGGGCCUGGGGCAAGGACGUUCUCUGCUGGUGCCCGUAGGAGCUGCCUCGGGUCAGGUGGACCUGGAUCCCGAGCCACUCGAGCGCGCUAGCCUUGGCCAGGAGGGCCAAGGACUGGCGGCCAGAAGGGAGCACACCAAGGGGGUGCUGCAGGUUGGCCAGGAGGGUCGUUUUCCUGUAGCAUCCCUACACUCCAUGCGGGGUGGUGAUCAUGGUCAGGUGGACCAGAAUGCAUCACUGUACGCCCCUACACACCCUACUAGCAAAGGCCAGGAGGGCCAAGCGCUGGUGGGGGGAGCGGCCACCACCUCGGCUGCUUUACCUGACCAUGCGGGCCAGGACAUGUUGCAUCGGGGGAAUUUUACUUCCCCAAUCAGGUAUGUUGCGGCUAUGGCUGCAUACCAGCCUAACCCGGUUGGCCAGGAGGGUAGGGAGGCUCUGCAGUGGGGUGAUCAACUCCUCUUUCGCCCGGGGGUGCUGGAGGCGCUGUCGGGGGCUGUCGCUGCAAGACUUGCUCCAAAAAAUACCACUGACACCCCUAUUUACACUUUCAAUGCUACAAAGAACUCCAUGCAGGGAAAGACAAAAGGAAAGGGCAGAAAAGGAAAGAAGGAAGGAGGAGUUGGGAGUUCAGAGGAAGCACGCAAGAACAUUAUAGGUAAAAAAAGAAGCCUCUAUGAAGCUCCAGCAAUUGGUAGUGAGCUAGAUUUCUCUUUUGAGAAAACCAUGGAUAGCUAUGAGCGUAUUCUGUAUGGGGACAUAAAAAUGUAUCUUCUAAGCGUGUAUGUACGGGUAGAGUGGAAGCUGUGA